GUUAGCUGUGUGCAGUUCAGUGCACAUUCAGUGUAAUUCCGGCCAACGAGUGGAUCGCACGUGUUCAUCGCGACUAGUUUUGGUUUCUUCAGAACAUAAUUAAGUACAUCGACUAAUAUUUAAUAAAGAAUAGGCGACAUGCCCUAGAAUCGGACGUGAUCGAGUUCACGCGUGUGUCGUUCCGUCGGCUGACAGUUAUUUUCUUGCACCUAACAAUAACUUAGAUUUAAAAUUAAUUCCUGUAAAUAGACAACGUUAGUGCUCUGAGAAGAAGUUUGUGAGUGCACGAACCAUGGAGUUUUCAUUAUGACGGUAGUGUUCGAGAUGCGCGUAUUUCAAGGCAAGUCUUUACUGCUACGGGAUUUGAUACCGUCGAUAUUUCUUAAAAAAAAUGUAUUGUUAAAUAUAAUCAAUAAAAAACGAUUUAAAAUUUAA